rnacentral:rRNA from 1 species
UGGCUCAGGACGAACGCUGGCGGCGUGCUUAACACAUGCAAGUCGAACGGAAAGGCCCCGCUUGCGGGGUACUCGAGUGGCGAACGGGUGAGUAACACGUGGGUGAUCUACCCUGCACUUCGGGAUAAGCCUGGGAAACUGGGUCUAAUACCGGAUAGGACCCCUCUUUAGUGUGGGGGGUGGAAAGUUUUUUCGGUGUGGGAUGAGCCCGCGGCCUAUCAGCUUGUUGGUGGGGUAAUGGCCUACCAAGGCGUCGACGGGUAGCCGGCCUGAGAGGGUGGACGGCCACAUUGGGACUGAGAUACGGCCCAGACUCCUACGGGAGGCAGCAGUGGGGAAUAUUGCACAAUGGGCGGAAGCCUGAUGCAGCGACGCCGCGUGGGGGAUGACGGCCUUCGGGUUGUAAACCUCUUUCGCUAGGGACGAAGCUUUUGUGACGGUACCUAGAUAAGAAGCACCGGCUAACUACGUGCCAGCAGCCGCGGUAAUACGUAGGGUGCGAGCGUUGUCCGGAAUUACUGGGCGUAAAGAGCUCGUAGGUGGUUUGUCGCGUCGUCUGUGAAAUUCCGGGGCUUAACUUCGGGCGUGCAGGCGAUACGGGCAAUACUUGAGUGCUGUAGGGGAGACUGGAAUUCCUGGUGUAGCGGUGGAAUGCGCAGAUAUCAGGAGGAACACCGAUGGCGAAGGCAGGUCUCUGGGCAGUAACUGACGCUGAGGAGCGAAAGCAUGGGUAGCGAACAGGAUUAGAUACCCUGGUAGUCCAUGCCGUAAACGGUGGGCGCUAGGUGUAGGGGUCUUCCACGACUUCUGUGCCGUAGCUAACGCAUUAAGCGCCCCGCCUGGGGAGUACGGCCGCAAGGCUAAAACUCAAAGGAAUUGACGGGGGCCCGCACAAGCGGCGGAGCAUGUGGAUUAAUUCGAUGCAACGCGAAGAACCUUACCUGGGCUUGACAUACACCGGACCGGGCCAGAGAUGGUCUUUCCCUUGUGGCUGGUGUACAGGUGGUGCAUGGUUGUCGUCAGCUCGUGUCGUGAGAUGUUGGGUUAAGUCCCGCAACGAGCGCAACCCUUGUCUUAUGUUGCCAGCACGUAGUGGUGGGGACUCAUGAGAGACUGCCGGGGUCAACUCGGAGGAAGGUGGGGAUGACGUCAAAUCAUCAUGCCCCUUAUGUCCAGGGCUUCACACAUGCUACAAUGGUCGGUACAACGCGUUGCGACACUGUGAGGUGGAGCUAAUCGCUGAAAGCCGGCCUCAGUUCGGAUUGGGGUCUGCAACUCGACCCCAUGAAGUCGGAGUCGCUAGUAAUCGCAGAUCAGCAACGCUGCGGUGAAUACGUUCCCGGGCCUUGUACACACCGCCCGUCACGUCAUGAAAGUUGGUAACACCCGAAGCCAGUGGCCCAACCCUUGUGGGGGGAGCUGUC